AUUGAACGCUGGCGGCAGGCCUAACACAUGCAAGUCGAGCGGAUGAAGGGAGCUUGCUCCUGGAUUCAGCGGCGGACGGGUGAGUAAUGCCUAGGAAUCUGCCUGGUAGUGGGGGAUAACGUCCGGAAACGGGCGCUAAUACCGCAUACGUCCUGAGGGAGAAAGUGGGGGAUCUUCGGACCUCACGCUAUCAGAUGAGCCUAGGUCGGAUUAGCUAGUUGGUGGGGUAAAGGCCUACCAAGGCGACGAUCCGUAACUGGUCUGAGAGGAUGAUCAGUCACACUGGAACUGAGACACGGUCCAGACUCCUACGGGAGGAAGCAGUGGGGAAUAUUGGACGAGGGGGGAAAGCCUGAUCCAGCCAUGCGGCGUGUGGGAAGAAGGUCUUCGGAUUGUAAAGCACUGUAAGUUGGGAGGAAGGGCAGUAAGUUAAUACCUGGCUGUUUUGACGUUACCAACAGAAUAAGCACCGGCUAACUUCGUG
rnacentral:rRNA from 1 species